AUACGUAGGUGACAAGCGUUAUCCGGAUUUACUGGGCGUAAAGGGCGUGUAGGCGGUCUUGCAAGUCAGAAGUGAAAUUCCUGAGCUCAACUCGGGCGCUGCUUCUGAAACUGCAGGACUUGAGUGCUGGAGGGGAUAGCGGAAUUCCUAGUGGAGCGGUAAAAUGCGCAGAUAUUAGGAAGAACACCGGUGGCGAAGGCGGCUAUCUGGACAGUAACUGAGGCUGAGGCGCGAAAGCGUGGGGAUCAAACAGGAUUAGAUCCCCUGGUAGUCCACGCCGUAAACGAUGAAUACUAGGUGUAGGGGGUAUCGACUCCCUCUGUGCCGCAGUUAACACAAUAAGUAUUCCGCCUGGGGAGUACGGCCGCAAGGUUGAAACUCAAAUGAAUUGACGGGG
rnacentral:rRNA from 1 species